rnacentral:rRNA from 1 species
AGAAUUUUUCUCAAUGGGCGCAAGCCUGAAGGAGCGACGCCGCGUGUGGGAUGAAGGGUUUCGAUCCGUAAACCACUGUCAUUUGUGAACAAUGGUUGCUAUUUAAAAGAUGGUAACUUGAUAGUAAUGAAAGAGGAAGGGACGGCUAACUCUGUGCCAGCAGCCGCGGUAAUACAGAGGUCCCAAGCGUUGUUCGGAUUCACUGGGCGUAAAGGGUGCGUAGGUGGCAUGGUAAGUUUGAUGUGAAAGCUCAGGGCUCAGCCCUGAAAUGGCAUUGAAUACUACUGUGCUGGAGGUUUGGAGGGGGGACUGGAAUUCUUGGUGUAGCAGUGAAAUGCGUAGAUAUCAAGAGGAACACCAGUGGCGAAGGCGAGUCCCUGGACAACACCUGACACUGAGGCACGAAAGCCGGGGGAGCAAA